ACUAAAGAGCAAUCCUGAAAAAUAUCUACUGGAAUGGAAAUUUUCUGAUCUUUGGGUACAUAAAGGAACUGCUGUGUGAGAGAAAAAAUGUCAAUACAUUUGGAGGACAGGCUGGCAGUACUUCUUUCCAGAUGUACCAUUUGGCACAUUAAACAAUUCUUUUCUUAGAAGGGGAACCUAUGGUUUUGCCAUGUAAUGCAAAACACCAAUGGAAUCACUACAUAAGCAAAAUGCCAGUAAUGGUACAGUGGUCCAGCCACAAACAUUGGUGAAGGUCAGAAAAUGAGCAAGGAUAUUCCACACAUCCCUCUGCCACUGUCCAUUGACUUUCUGUGUGUUAGAGAGUUUCUUGCCAUCAACAGGCCUACCCCUUCCCCUGUCUGAAGCUUCCUAUGGGAUGAGCAGCAGGACAGCUGCCUUCCUCCUAGCCUUGUGGCCAAGGGAGGAAAAGGAGACUGGCCAGGCAAAUCGCAUGUGUUUCCUUGGCAGGGCUGGUCUUUGCACCUGGGAAGGGCUGUCGGCUUGGGGAGAGAGCUGUGACAUACUGCCCUGCCUGACUGCCCAGCCUGACCCCUGCCUUGGGUUCUCUGGGAUUUUUCUAUUCAUUACAGCAAAUAUCCUGUAAUUCGAGCUUUGUAUAAGUGGGGUCAUACUCUGCUCAGUAGAUAGCAGAUUUCUUUCUAGUUAAUAUGACAGGUGUUUAGGUUUUUUUUUCUUUCAUUCACCAGAAACCUCACCUUUAUUCCUCCCAUGUUAAAUAAGUCAAUUCUGGUUUUUGCCUGUCCAUACAGUCAGAAAAUGACACUUCCUGAUUACUCUCCCCCAGCUUAAAAGCAAUAGAAAAGCAAUAGUGGAAAAAAAAGAGUGAUUUCUCCCCAAGAUUCUAAUUAAAUGUGGUUGUGUGGCCUUUCCAGUUUGUUAAACUUUGUAAUUAAUAAUGACCAGGUGAGGCAGGGAAGUUAUUUUUCUUUGGGCUUUUUCCAUCCCGUGAAUGCUGGGAAAAAAUGCAAGGAAGGCACUUAGUUGUGAGAACACUUUCCCUCUCCUAUUGGUACAAGUCCUAAAAUCUGGCUAUGUUUUAAACCCCUGUGAAGAGCAAAAUUUCAUUAU